rnacentral:rRNA from 1 species
AUUGAACGCUGGCGGCAUGCCUUACACAUGCAAGUCGAACGGUAACGGGCCUUCGGGUGCCGACGAGUGGCGAACGGGUGAGUAAUGCAUCGGAACGUACCUUUCAGUGGGGGAUAACGUAGCGAAAGUUACGCUAAUACCGCAUAUUCUGUGAGCAGGAAAGCAGGGGAUCGCAAGACCUUGCGCUGAUUGAGCGGCCGAUGUCAGAUUAGCUAGUUGGUGAGGUAAAGGCUCACCAAGGCGACGAUCUGUAGCGGGUCUGAGAGGAUGAUCCGCCACACUGGAACUGAGACACGGUCCAGACUCCUACGGGAGGCAGCAGUGGGGAAUUUUGGACAAUGGGGGGCAACCCUGAUCCAGCCAUGCCGCGUGAGUGAAGAAGGCCUU